GCUUCUAUAGCUUAACGGAAAAGCAAAGCCCUUCUAAGACUUAGAGUGUAGGUUCGAAUCCUACUAGAAGCU
rnacentral:tRNA from 1 species